GCUGAAUGUGGGGAUAAUUUAUCUMSGUGUUGUAGCUARCGCGUUAAGCACUCCGCCUGGGGACUACGGUCGCAAGACUAAAACUCAAAGGAAUUGACGGGGACCCGCACMAGCGGUGGAGCAUGUGGUUUAAUUCGAUGCAACGCGAAAAACCUUACCACUCCUUGACAUGGAGAUUAGAUCCUUCUUAACAGAAGGGCGCAGUUCGGCUGGAUCUCGCACAGGUGCUGCAUGGCUGUCGUCAGCUCGUGUCGUGAGAUGUUGGGUUAAGUCCCGCAACGAGCGUAACCCUCAUCCUUAGUUGCCAGCGGGUAGGCCGGGCACUUUAAGGAAACUGCCGGUGGUAAACCGGAGGAAGGUGGGGAUGAUGUCAAGUCAGCACGGCCCUUAUGGGGUGGGCUACACACGUGCUACAAUGGUGACUACAAUAGGUUGCAAUGUCGCAAGGCUGAGCUAAUCCGUAAAAGUCAUCUCAGUUCGGAUUGUCCUCUGCAACUCGAGGGCAUGAAGUCGGAAUCGCUAGUAAUCGUGGAUCAGCAUGCCACGGUGAAUACGUUCUCGGGUCUUGUACACACUGCCCGUCAACGCCAAUGGGAAUUGGCUUAACUYAAAGSUGGWGCGCUAACCGAAAGGAAGCAGCCAU
rnacentral:rRNA from 1 species